GGGGUCGUUGGUGUGGAAGCUGGAAUCCAUGACCAAACGCCCAUCGAACACCAAACAGGCAUCAUUGAUGGCCUUGAAGGCAUCGUAGUCAACACUUUUAUGAGAGAAGCUGAAGAACACCUAAGAAAAUCGAAUGCAAGUAGUUUCACUCACCGCACACUCCAGCUGUAGAGUCUGAGUGUCAGUGGUGAAGGUCACUGAAGUCACGGGAUCAGUGUGUCGUCCAUCAUUGAUUUGAGUCAGCAGGCAGUCGUGAUGCACGUGAACCUCCUCUUUUUCUACAGCCUGUUUCACUGCGUGCUCCACUGAACCAUUGGGGAAACAGGAAGUUGGGUUGUCUUCGGGAGGAUGGACCACAUGAAUCCGGCGGCCACUGACACCAAGACACAUGAGCGUCUCCACGCAGGGCUGAAUAGCAAGAGAAGGUCUCGCUCAAGCCCUGUCCAUGGUGCUGAAGCACAGCCAGCGCCGCACAACUCGGAUGUUUUCAACCACAACAGGAUUUCUGCCAAAACUAUUAUCAGGCCGGUGCAGAGGAUCAGAUAGUCAUACUUCACGUUACCAUUCUCCAUCAGCUCCACGUGUUUGGCCUCGCGGUCGAUGGCCUUCAUCUUACCCGUCACCACGCUGAUCCAGGAGCGCAGAGACAGCCGAGCUUGAUCCUGAUCGCUGUAGCAGUGACUGUGGAGGAACAGAUUCUGCAUCAGAUUUACACAGCUAUGAAAAGAGCAGCCAGAAGGACAUUGGUGUCUUCACUGUAAGUGGGUUUAGUUUCUCAAUGCUCAAGGUUAACUGACUCUUUCACUGAGGUGCUCAGAAUCAAGGUUUCGUGUGGAAGCUCUGAUACGGUGUGUCGUAUCAGUCGUUUGGUUCGGUGGAUUGGAUUAGAUGUGCCAGUCAUGCAGAACCACUAACAGACAUGAUAAAACAGACGUUCCUGCUUUUCAUCACGAGUGCCAGGAAGUAAUGCUUUCGGUGAAGCUGCACUAAAGCUGCCGCUCUCAAAACACUGAAACAUGAGGUAAGAGGCCAGAAUCUCUUGAGAGACCAAAAUAUGUCACCCAAAAAAUCAACAUUUAAUCUUGAUUUAUUCAUUCCAUCCCAUUAUUGUUGUUCUAAGAUGUUCUAAGGAGCUUUUGAUUCUCUUGCUUUAUAUUUCCAAAAAUGAAGAAAUCCACCACACUGCAAAUUAUUUUCUUACUCAUUGUUGUUUUUUUUUCCAGUAAAAAUAUCUUAACUGUCUUAAAUAAAGAUGCAUUUACUUGAGAAGCAAAUCACUUGAGAUAUUAAGUCUUGAUUUUCUCAAAUUAUCAGAAUUAAGUGAGUUAAUGUUUAAAACAAGAAAUCUUUCAGUUUAAAGUAUAAACUCAAUUUACCCCCCCCCCCAGAAAAUAAGACUUAAUAAAAUUAAGUAAGUAAUGCUUAAAACAAACAAAAUUCUGUUUUCUGAAAAAAUAAGGCAAGUUUUCUUUCUCAAGAAAAUGUACCAGGUUUUAUAUUUUUUAGACAUUUGUCAUAGAAGUAAAAAAUAAUAGGUUAGAAAUCUUUAAUAUAAUAUGAAAUUAUUAUAAUUGAAAAAAUAAUAAAUUAUAAAAUCAUGUUUGCUCUGUAUAAAAGCAGUCCAAAAUUAUAACUCUCAAAUCUCAUUUACAGUCAUAUUUUUCAAGCUUUCAGCAUUUUGAGCCGUCAACAACAUCAAACCUAAAGCACAGUGAAUUUGACAGAAGUGUAAAUGAGAUUUGAGUUCCAAAGGAGGCGAAGAUCAUCAGUGAGUAACGGCAUACUGUAAAAAAAUCACUGCAUUGACAAGCUUUUGUUGCAUUUUUUUUUUUUUGUUCUUUUAAUAGUAAACUUGACUGCUAAGAAAUUAUUAAUAAUGUUUAUAAUAAAUUGCAACAGUCAAGCCUUCCAGUCUGAACUCCACUGAGAGACCCGGACAGCUUCAGUGCUUUAGCACUUCACAUCUGUAUGAUAGAAUGGAAAUAAAGCGGACUUUCCCUCUUUCAUGGAGUGGAAAUAUGCUGCAUUGGAGUCUGAAUGCCUCUCGUUUGUAAUGCAUCUCUCACCUUGUAGCCAGAAAUCUCAUGUUGUCAUCAGAGCAGUGAUCUGGAAGGCCGUGAGUGGAGAUGAGAGUGAGAUUGUUGAAUCUGAGAUGAGGACUGGUGGGAAAGAGAAAUGCAGACGAGUCAGAGUCAAAUAAUGCCAUUGACCCUUUUUCUUUCAGUCGAGUUUCUGCAUCUUGACUUUACACACAGAAUCCCUGAUAUUAAUACCGUUGAUCGAACAUGUCUCAGAAUUGAUUUCAGAAAUGAAUACCAUUGAAUGAAGAGAGGACAGUAGGGACGCCUGAACAAAAGCAUGCAGGGAGUGUGAGGUUAUUCUGCAAACACUCGAUGGACAGAUGCUGAAAUCCCUUAAUUUCCAGUGCAGCGCUGGCCUGCAUUAAAGUGCUUUCUUCUCCAACCAUCACAGUAAAAGCCUUUCCUUUUGUUUUGUCUUUUUUCCCCUCUUGUUUUGUUUCCUGUGUGUAGUGGUCUCCCCCCGUCGCCCUCCCUCCGUCCCCUCAGGAGUGUAAAAAGGUCUCUUGUCAUGUAAAUGUGCUGGAAAGACAUGAUCUCUAUCUGUGGCAGGAGAGGAAAU